AUUGAACGCUGGCGGCAGGCCUAACACAUGCAAGUCGAACGAGUGGCGGACGGGUGAGUAAUGUCUGGGAAACUGCCCGCUGGAGGGGGAUAACUACUGGAAACGGUAGCUAAUACCGCAUACCAUCGGAUGUGCCCAGAUGGGCUUAGCUAGGAGGUGGUGUAACGGCUCACCUAGGCGACGAUCCCUAGCUGGUCUGAGAGGAUGACAAGCAAAACUGGAACGGAGACACGGUGCAGACUCCAAGGGGAGGCAGCAGUGGGGAUUAUUGCACAAUGGGCGAAAGCCUGAUGCAGACAUGACGCGUGUAUGAAGAAGGCCUUCGGGGUGUAAAGUACUUUCAGCGAGGAGGCGUUACUCGCAGAAGAAGCACCGGCUAACUCCGUGCCAGCAGCCGCGGUAAUUC
rnacentral:rRNA from 1 species